UAGUGCGUUACAGUAAGUGAAAUGGUGACGAUAUGCAGCAGCGGCAAGAUGGUUUUCCGUUUUGGAUUGGUGUUUGUUUUCUUUUUUCUGGUAACAGUGGCCUUGUGCCCGUCGCCAAUCAGCGCUUACCCGAAACGAGUCGGUACAUUCUGGACGACGGUUCGAAAUGCGUCUGCUUCCGUGGCUUCGGCAUCUGUCGUGUACCGUCCAACGUUGGUCGUGGAUAGGUCUCCAAGCAGCAAGGUGGCCGGUGGUACGAAUGCCACCAAAGGACAAUUUUCUUACCUAGUAGCCAUCGUACUCAGCUUCGGUGGGGGUUCCGAAGCGCUAUGCGGUGGUUCUAUCAUCUCAGAACGCUUUAUUCUUACUGCCGCUCACUGUCUUUACGGUAUGGAGGAGGCAACGAUCGUGGUCGGCCAAAACUCAAAGAUUACCCUUCCGAUCGGUGACAACAGCGCAACCAACGCAAUCAUCAUCACUAUCGGGCCACCAAAUGUUAUUCUGCAUCCCGGGUACGAUCCCGUCGAUAUUCUGAACGAUAUCGCGCUCAUUCUUCUACCAGUCGUACUGCCGCUCCGCACGUCAUCAACCAUUAAAACGAUUCGAUUGCCAUCGUGGAAUAACGCGUACGCGGAUAUUACCGGCUAUGACUCGAUUGUGUCCGGCUGGGGAGCUCAGUCGAGUGAAGAAUUCGUCGAACCAACUGACGAAGCAUCACAAAUCAUACUACGCUACGCCACCAGUACGAUUGUUCCGAACGAAGUGUGCCGUAUGAUUUACGGAUCACUUAUACGCGACCAACAAGUAUGUGUGUCGGGCGAAGGUGGCCGCAACCCAUGCCAGGGGGACUCUGGUGGACCGCUAACGGUCAAAUUUGGCAGGCAGGGCAUCACGCAGGUCGGCAUUGUUUCAUACGGUUCUGUUAAGGGUUGUGAGAAGGGAGUCCCAGGCGUCUACACAAGAGUGUCUUCGUACAUCGAGUGGAUCGUUCAUCAUGCCGGAAUCGCUGUAAAUUGAGUUAAAAUACUAGUAUUAGCAAAGUAUGUGUGUGCGUGCAUUUGUGUAUUGGAAUAAAAGGUGCUAAGAACUUUAAGUCAAACCUUAAAGGUGCACUGCCUACUAUAUGCGUAAUAUACAGGACUUUUCUUGAUGACCACGUUAUUUGCAUCAGCACGUCUGUCCUCUUGCACGUCUGCUCCUCGUUGUGUGCCUCAUCUGCUUGCAAAAUGAUCUUUGUGAAAAUGGUGCUAUUGUCGCUGCUGGCAACUUUGCUACUAGUACCUGGU